GUGGUUGGGUAGAGAAUACCAAGGCGCUUGAGAGAACUCGGGUGAAGGAACUAGGCAAAAUGGCACCGUAACUUCGGGAGAAGGUGCGCCGGUGAGGGUGAAGGACUUGCUCCGUAAGCCCACGCCGGUCGAAGAUACCAGGCCGCUGCGACUGUUUAUUAAAAACACAGCACUCUGCAAACACGAAAGUGGACGUAUAGGGUGUGACGCCUCCCCGGUGCCGGAAGGUUAAUUGAUGGGGUUAGCUAACGCGAAGCUCUUGAUCGAAGCCCCGGAAAACGGCGGCCGUAACUAUAACGGUCCUAAGGUAGCGAAAUUCCUUGUCGGGUAGGUUCCGACCUGCACGAAUGGCGUAACGAUGGCGGCGCUGUCUCCACCCGAGACUCAGUGAAAUUGAAAUCGCUGUGAAGAUGCAGUGUAUCCGCGGCUAGACGGAAAGACCCCGUGAACCUUUACUAUAGCUUUGCACUGGACUUUGAAUUUGCUUGUGUAGGAUAGGUGGGAGGCUUUGAAGCGUGGACGCCAGUUCGCGUGGAGCCAACCUUGAAAUACCACCCUGGCAACUUUGAGGUUCUAACUCAGGUCCGUUAUCCGGAUCGAGGACAGUGUAUGGUGGGUAGUUUGACUGGGGCGGUCUCCUCCUAAAGAGUAACGGAGGAGUACGAAGGUGCGCUCAGACCGGUCGGAAAUCGGUCGUAGAGUAUAAAGGCAAAAGCGCGCUUGACUGCGAGACAGACACGUCGAGCAGGUACGAAAGUAGGUCUUAGUAAUCCGGUGGUUCUGUAUGGAAGGGCCAUCGCUCAACGGAUAAAAGGUACUCCGGGGAUAACAGGCUGAUACCGCCCAAGAGUUCAUAUCGACGGCGGUGUUUGGCACCUCGAUGUCGGCUCAUCACAUCCUGGGGCUGAAGCCGGUCCCAAGGGUAUGGCUGUUCGCCAUUUAAAGUGGUACGCGAGCUGGGUUUAGAACGUUGUGAGACAGUUCGGUCCCUAUCUGCCGUGGACGUUUGAGAUUUGAGAGGGGCUGCUCCUAGUACGAGAGGACCGGAGUGGACGAACCUCUGGUGUUCCGGUUGUCACGCCAGUGGCAUUGCCGGGUAGCUAUGUUCGGAAUAGAUAACCGCUGAAAGCAUCUAAGCGGGAAACUAGCCUCAAGAUGAGAUCUCACUGGGACCUUGAGUCCCCUGAAGGGCCGUCGAAGACUACGACGUUGAUAGGUUGGGUGUGUAAGCGCUGUGAGGCGUUGAGCUAACCAAUACUAAUUGCCCGUGAGGCUUGACCAA
rnacentral:rRNA from 1 species